UGAACAGGAAUGCGUUUGUUUCUCAUUCAUUCCUACACAGACUGUGCUAGCAGUGUUGGCUUGCCUUCUUAAAGCUUCCUUCAAAGAAGCAGACAUUCUCCAUGUCACACACCUGGCCUUUACUGUCGAUGGCUGUUGAGAUCAGAGACUGACCUUGGACCCCAGGACAGCUGAUUCUCAGGUGAGGAAAUGGACUCACUCGUGAUUGGUUUGAAUACUCCCUUGGAACAGAAGCCAUAGAAGUAAAUUCCUCUAGUCUAGUGACGCAAGCCACGGAUAAGAAAGUUCACACGUCCUAGGAAGACUCUGGGUGGACUUCACUGAAUUCCUGAAAUUGGAAGUAGAAUGCAUGUAUGUAGUCACUCAGUUCUCUGCAAGAAAGAGUACAGCUUUAAUGAAG
ensembl:lncRNA